CGUCGGCGGUGUGCGGACCUGAAACCACACGCAAAGGGCAGUACCUGGUACAACCGGUGAAGGGUGAAAUAGCAGAGAUAUACUGGGGACUAUUGAUACCGGAAAAGCCGGACAAACAGGGUAUUUUGUCCCAGUACUUCAAGUGGAGGCCGUGGAUCUCCCUCCUCGAGCCGUACUUUCCUCCGCCAGACCCCCCACAUGUAACCCUAUUUUAUGAUCGGCAGGGCGAUGAGGUGUAUAGAGAAGGGUUUGGGGAUGUAGUGUGUGGGGACAUGUGGCAGGUCGGGUCUAAAUUCAUAUAUGUAGGCCCUGAAGGGGUAGCGGCAGAUGUACAGUUGACAGAGGAGCAGGAUCAGUGGUACAUGAUGGCGGAGGAGUCCGUCCCGCAUGUGUCACUGGCCCUGCAUCCUAAACACCAAGCAAAAGACCUGGGGCCCAUGGUUAAAAGGGCGGUCGAAUGCACUGAUUGGACACUCACUCAGGCGCCAAACGUAUGGUACUCACACAGCUGUAAGAUGUAAAAAUGGUUCACUUGCAUUGACCUGGCUAAUGUUUUUUCUGUCUCCCACUAGCAGAGGAACUUCGUGAUAUUUUUUCUUUCACACAUAGGGGUCGGCAAUGGCGAUACACGAGACUACCACAGGGGUUCGCGCUUUCCCCUGGUAUAUUCAACCAGGUACUGAGAGGAGCGCUGCAGGGAUGCUGCCUGCCGACAGGGGUAACUUUGGUCCAGUACAUAGAUGACCUGCUGCUGGCGGCCCCGAUGGUGGCUGCCUGCAUCCAAGCUACGAUGAAGGUCCUCACCAGACUGGCUGAGAAAGGGUUCAAGGUGUCAAAAGAAAAGCUACAGCUGGUAAGGACGCAGGUCUCCUUUCUGGGCAGAGUAAUCUCGCAGAAGGGAGCGGGGCUUUCCCCAGCUCACCGCACAACCAUCCUCCACCCUCCUUAACCUACUACUGUUCAGGAAAUGCUAUCAUUCCUGGGGCUCACGGGGUACAGCCGCAAUUACAUCCCAAACUAUUCAGGGCUCACAGGGCCACUUAGAGCGCUAGUUAAGGAGCAGGGAAUGCGUAAACUUAAAGCCAAUCUCAAUUGGACUUGCCCGGCCGACCAGGCCUUCAUUUUGCUGAUACAACAACUAGCCACCACAGCUGAUCUGGCCAUACCCGACUACACAAAACACUUUUUUUUUUAGAUGUUUCUGAAACAGGUCAAGUCAUGAACGGUCCUGUUUCAGAAAAAAAAAGGGGGAGAAGGCUCUGAGAGAGAUGAGCUAGUGAGACAUCAAAAGGGGGCUUCCCCACAAGAGAAAACAAUUUGGCAACAGAGACGAGCGGGCUCUGGAGAGGGCCAGAGGGUAGAGUAAUACUUUCACCAGCCAUGCGGGGAGAUAAAUUUGCAGAAGCCCACGGGUUGGGCCAUGUAGGGCCAGCACAGAUGUUGAGGAACUUGUGCCAUUGGUGGCACCCGUUUAUGGUAGACAUGGUACGUAACUACACUAGGACAUGCACCAUCUGCACUCACCACAACCCAAAACCGACGAUCAAACCUGAGAUGGGGGCGUUCCGACGAGACCUGGACAAGAGAUAGUGAUAUACUACACGGACAUGAGGGAAACUGUACGGGGGUGCCGCUACAUGUUAGUGUGUGUGGACAUGUUCACAGGGUGGCCAGAAGCCUGGCCAGCUAGAAGGGAGGACAGUCAGACAGUGAUCAAGUGUUUAGUGAACCAGUACAUUCCCAGACACGGCUUCCCAGAGAAAAUCAGGUCAGACAAUGGGACUCACUUUAAGAACAAUGAUUUACAGAAGGUAGAGAGCAUCCACAGUCCCAGGGAAAGGUAGAAAGGAUGAACCAAAACUUAAAAAACAAGUUGGCUAAGAUAUGUGCACAGACUAAAUUGAACUGGGUGGAUGCACUGCCACUGGCACUCAUGACAAUUCGAUGCUCGUUAAAUCAGACCACUGGGUUCACCCCAUACAAGCUGCUGACGGGGAGACAGUUUCCAGGACCAGCCGCGGGGCCUGCGGUCCCGGAAGGGGAAAAGUGGCCCAAAGAUCACAGAGUGUAUUUUGAGGAAUUGCGAGCUCUCGUUUCAGAAUUCACCAAUAGAGUCGGAGAACGGAGGGACCUGCACCCGCUGGACCAGAACCUGCUCCAGGCGGAGUGGGUGUUGCUGAAGGUCAUCAAGCGAAAGUGGUCGGAGCCAAGGUGGACGGGUCCUCAUCAGGUGGUGGAGAGAACGAGUCAUGCGGUCCGCCUGAGGGACAAAGGAGAGACGUGGUACCAUUGGAGCCAGUGUACACCAGCGCAGGAGCCAGGAAGGUCGCUAACGGACCUCAUCCAAACCGGGAAGGAGGAGCUUUCCCCAGCGUGGACGGAAGGAGGACCAACACCAGCCGGACCGGUGCCAGGAGCGGACCCCAGGACACGGCGGGACUACGAGCGAGUGAAGGAGACAGAGGACGGCGCCAGGGGAAUAGACGCUUAGGGGAAAGAACUGAAGAAUACUGUAACAAAAGGGGGUAUAGGACACCGAGUGGCUCAUACCACUCGUACCAAGAUGACAGGGUUACAGAGAAAGGUCUGGGGAGAUGAUAGUAGAAUGA
ensembl:lncRNA